GGAAAGAGAAGGAGCAGAGCUCUUUUGUUUUAAGAAAAUCAUGGCAGCAGUGAAUCAGCAGGAUGCCAAUAAAGCCAGAUGAGCAUACCGAUGAGAACUACAUCCCUUCAGAAGGCAUCACCACCCUGGCUGUACUGAGGCUGCUUGCAUGAAUACACAGAGACAACAGAGCACUUGCAGAGCCCCUCAUUCCUGGAAUAGCCAUGCAGAAACAGCUCCCCUCACACUGAGCUGGAUGCUCUGGGAGGAGAUGCGAUGCCUGAUAACAGAAGGUCAUCGGGAAACAUGCCGCUGCCCAUGAACCAGCCUAAU
ensembl:lncRNA